rnacentral:rRNA from 1 species
AUGGCCUGGUUUGGCCCAGCUGUAGCUCCGCCAGUGCUCAAGGGUGACGAGCCUUCACUCAUGGAGAUCCUCAAAGGCAAUAAGCCAUUUCUUAAGUUCUUCACAGGCAGAAAGCCAUUGCUCAAUGAAAUCGAAAAAGAAUUUACUCAGAGAAUAAUUGGCAAGGUGCUGCAGCCCACACAAUACAAAGAACAGGUUGUUGAACACACACAUUCGCCGCCUGAUGCAAAGAAAUAUCCAACUGCACAGGAAGGUUGUUUUAUCCAUGAUGCCUGUAAGAUUUCUGAAGCGCUGUUGUCUUUGGGUGAUGAGAGCAAGACAUGGGAGGUGAUCGAAGGUGUGUGGGUGGAGAUGCUCUGUUUCUCAGCCAGUAGGUGCCGAGGGUACCUACAUGCAAAGAGCCUGGGCACUGGCCCUGAGCUCCUCACUUAUGUCUGGCUGCUGCUAUCACACAUAGGGAUGGAGACCUUGCAGGAGAGGCUGCAGAGGACAGAGCUUUCAAAUGAAGAAGGAAAUGCCGGUGCUCCUCCAUCGACUUCCCAGAUACCUGGGAGUGAAGAUCCACCUCCUUGCAGACGCUCAAGGCCUCAUGAAGCUGCUGCUGCCGGCGCAUCCAUCUCUGAAUCCGAAGAAAUAGUACCAGCUGAAUAA